GACUGAACUGUCCUUUUUCGGUUAUCAUGGUACCGAUGCUGUAUAUCUGAAAGGUACAGUACUGUGAUAACUGAAGAAUGGUGGUGCC
ensembl:miRNA microRNA 101-2